rnacentral:lncRNA from 1 species
AUGUCGCGAGCAGCGCAGGUGGUGGUGGUGGUGGGUGGGUGGGGCGUGUCCCGCGCAGCCCCGAGGACACGCCCGUUUCUGCGGUGGACUGAGCGCCUAAAAAACAAACAACAACAACAACAACAACAAAAAAAACACGCCUGUGCGUUCGUUUCGUUCAUUCAUCUAUCUGCCCUUCAGACACAGAUCCAGCCUGUGUUGCACACUCACACUCGGGCAGCCAGAGCGCAGAUGGACAGCGAUGGGGAGCAGCCAUCCCAAGAGCAAAGGCAAAGGGACCAUGAGCCCGAGGAGGCAGCGGCGAAGCCAGUCUUGAACGUGGAGGACGCAUGGGUUCAUCAAGAAGAGAGGUUUGGGAAGUUGCAAGGCCUGGGAAGGCAUCCAAGGGAGAGGAAGGGCACCGACCCAGGUCUUGGUUUGCUAGAGAUGAGAUGGGGGCGGCGCUUGGAAGUGUUCCUGCACCGAGGAAGAAAUGGAGGCGGCGUUAUUUCCAUAGGUGAACCCUGGCCUGCCUCCCUCCAGGAAGCCUCAAACCAUGAAGGGCUCAGGGGCCGGGAGCCGAGCCAGGCUGUGUCCUGCUGUUGCAGUUCGGUAGCAAGCUCAGCUCCCAAGUGAGCUGUCAGGGUGCAGGCGAAGGCCGGGGUCUGGAUCCUGGAAGACAGGGUGGGGGGAGGGGUUGGAGAGGGGAGAGGAGCUCCUCUGAUUAUGAGUAAGGAAGGGUCUCACAGCUGGAUUUCAGCCCCUCCCCCAUCGGGAGCAGGGAGACCUUCAGCUAGAUUUCUUCCCCUCCAAACAUGAGAUCCGCCAAAGCAGGAGAAUUUGCCAACAUAGAGAGGAGUUCCAAGUCUCCAAACCCAAGGAAAUGAUAAGGGUCUCCCAUGCAGGUGCAGGGCCCAAGGACCUGGGCCAUCCUCCACUAUACUCCCGGGCCACAGCAGAGAGCUGGACUGGAAGAGGAGCAACCAGGACAGAAUCCAGCGCCCGGACCAGGACUAGACCCGGGGUGCCGGCGCUGCAGGUGGAGGAUUAGCCUAGUGAGCCACGGCGCCGGCCAAAAGUCUUUUUUAAUUGGAAAAGAGAGAGAGUGAGUUCUGAGAAACUUGAUGACGAUCCUCGGAGUGGACGACUGGCUACCUAAUUUGCCGGGCCCAGUACAGAAUGAAAACGCAGCCCAUUGUUCACAACCAACUGUGAAUCUCCAGACAAUGAGAGCUGAGCACUAAAUCAAGAGCCAGGGCCUCUGGAGAGUGACCGCACCACCACACGCCCAUGAAGCUGACUCCACUGGUGCUUGUGUGUUGCACGGGUUCAUUGAAGGCUUUUUUUGAACUUGAAGGUUUGGGGCCGGCAUCGUGGCUCAGCAGGUUAAGUUGUCAGCUGUGACACUGCAGCCUAUCGUGGUGCGCCAGUUCAAGUCCUGAUUGCUCCACUUCUAAUCCAGCUCCCUGCUAAUGGCCUGCAAAGGCAGGAGAUGGCUCGAAUCCUUGGCCCCUGCACCCAUGUGGGAGACCCGGAUGGAGUUCCAGGCUCCUGGCUUCGACCUGGCCCAGCCCUUGGUUGUUGUUGCCAUUUGGGAAGUGAACCAGAAGAUGGAAGACUCUCUCUCUUCCUUUCUCUCUCUCUCUCUGCUCCCCUCCUUCUCACUGUUCCUUUCAAAUAAAUAAAUACAUCUUUUAAAAAAAUGUACCUGC